UACGUAGGGGGCAAGCGUUGUCCGGAAUUAUUGGGCGUAAAGAGCGUGUAGGCGGCCAGAUAAGUCCGCUGUGAAAUCUCGAGGCUCAACUUCGAGCUGUCGGUGGAAACUAUCUGGCUAGAGUCCGGAAGAGGAGAAUGGAAUUCCUGGUGUAGCGGUGAAAUGCGCAGAUAUCAGGAGGAACACCGGUGGCGAAGGCGGAUCUCUGGGCCAUUACUGACGCUGAGGAGCGAAAGCGUGGGGAGCGAACAGG
rnacentral:rRNA from 1 species